ACCAGUGUGGUUUAGUGGUUUGAGUGUUGAACUAGGACUCUGGAGACCAGGGUUCAAAUGCCUGCUCGUA